GGGAAAAUAGUUUCACGUUUGAGAUUUGGAAAGGAAAUCUAUUCGACGUCAACACUAUCGUAUCAUUUCGAACUAAGGUUGGAUCCCUACACGGAGUUGUCGUUAUAUGAAUUUAAUUUUCAAUUAAGCAUGAUAUUCGUUAUAAUUUCAUGAAGUAUAUGAAGUGCCUUUAGAGUUUUUUUUUUUUCUCUUAAAUUUUUUGAAAGAAAGGUUUAUAUAUAUUUAAACUGAUGGUCACAGAGGCUGAUUAGAACCUUAAGUAUAUAUGUUGAACUGAUGGUCGCAGAGGCUCAUCAGAAACUUAAGUAGAUCGUUUGAUCAUCGAUUUACUUAUUUAUGAAGGCAACAUGUAUGAAUGAAUGAUUAAAUAUACGAAUAUUAAGUUCAUGUAGCACGUGUAGUUUGCUGAGUAUUUCUUUGAGAUGUUCACUCCUAUUUAACCCCUUUCCAUAGUAAUCGGAGGUCCGACGGCAGUUUGGCAUGAAUGGCAUGUUUUAUUUUUAAAGAAAUUUAUUUUAUGUUUUAGAUUUUGCACUUUUAUGUUUAAUAUUUGUUGGUGUCCUGGAUAUUGUAGUUCGAAUCCAUGUUUUGAGACACAGUUUUUUUUUUUUUUUAAUGUUCGUUUGUACUUCCAGUUUCUGCCUCUAAGUUUAAAAAUUCACCCAGACUUAAAUACUUGGAAUUUUGAGGUGAUUCUAAUGAAAAGAUAGCCUUAUGAGUUAUCUAUCCCUCAAAUUUGGAAUCAUGAAUUUUGGAUCUAUAAAACUCAAGUUAUGAAUAUUUUCCCAAGAGCGGUCGAUUGUAAACGGGAACAGAUUGCUCCAGUUUAGAAAGAAUUUUGACCAAUCUAUUGAUUGAAUUUAUCUAUGAAAUUCCGGUAGUUCCCCAAUGUGUAUGAUGUCUACACUUUUAAUUUUUUUUUAAAUUUGGACUUCAUUUAUGGGUCGAACGAGAUUUAUUUUAGAAAGUCGUAUAAGCUGAAGUCAAAACUUUUCGAACAACAAUUUUCUUGAAAUUUUGAAACAAGUUUCUCCGGAGUCCUAAUGUUUUUAAUACAAAUUAAGCUGCCACAUUUUAUGAACUACUUAAGUAGAAUUUUAUAAAUUUAAGGUCUUUGUAAUGUCACGAGUUCCGGGAGCUCAAGGCGUUAUACAUUCACAUUUCGACUCGUUUUGCUAGUGUUAUUUCUAUUUGAUAUUUAAUAUAAUUGACCUAAUUCAUUAGUCAUUAUCCACAUAAUCUAGAAGGAUAACUAAUUGGUUAUGAUACAGUCCUAAUUAUAAUCAAACUAACCUAAGUUCACCUAUAAAUACCAAAUCCAUGCACAUAUGUUUGCCACAAAACCACCCACUCUUUAACUUUUGUUUCAUUCUUUAAAAUUUGAGGAGAAAUCGUUAUUAAGUUUAGAAGAUUUUCGAAAGAGUUUCAAUUUUAUUGUUCAUUUUGGCCAAUUCAAGAGUUGUUCCACAGCUUUUGAAAUAUGUUGUUAUAUAUGAAUUUAAUUACUUUAGAGCUCCAUCGAGAGAAAUCAUGAUACAUUUUAAGGCAUCUCUACGAGUAUGAGCUAGCCUUCACGUUAUUUUGCAACUCUUGCCAAAUUAUCGUUUUUCAUGGUAUGAUAAUUCUAAUUUUAUUUUGGUAAGAAAGUUUAUGCAUAAUAUAAUGACUGAUAUGAAUGUGGAGUCGCAAGCAUCUCAUUGAGUAAAAUUCAUUAAACUCAUUGCUUUUUAUUUACAAAUUUCAAGUAAAAGUUAGCCUAGUGGACAACAGUGGAUGGAUGGGUAUGCCAGUAGACCAACGGAUUUUUGUCACAUAGUACAUUAUUUGUUGAAUUGGAUUAGUUUUGGAGUAACAUUAUAAUUUUUAAUUAGUCCUAUAUUGCAUGUUAGAACUAGUUUUUAUUAAUAUUUUUAUAAAAGAUAUGAUUCCAAAACAUUCCGUGUAUUUUAUUAAAUUAAAUUUAUCUUUUAUUAAAAGUUGUUCAAAUUUUAUUGAAUAUGUCACUAUAUUAAAAUUUAUUUUAAGCAUGUUAAGAAAUCCAUAUUUGAUAACUCAUAGGGUUGCUAAACUUUGGAGUGUUACAAUUUGAUAUCAGAGCAAACGAAUACUUUUUUUGUAGAUUUUUCAAAUUUUAAUUUUAAAAAAAAACUCUAUUUUGUCCUUUACUGAGAACUCAUUGUAUGAGUUUUCUUGAUUUGCGUUUUUUUAAAAUUAAAAGGCCUUGUUAAAAAGACCUAAACUAUCUAAUGAGAGGUUAAAAUUUAAGUGGUCCACUUGUGACCCUCCUCACCUGAUGCUAUUUUAAUGGUUCAUUAUUCAAAUCAAUAAGAUGAAAGGCAAUAUUUCAAACCCACUUCAAUUUCAAGAAAAUCCCUAUUUUUAGAAACUUUUAUACCAAACUAAAAUCUAUUACACAAAAUUUCUAUAUAUAAUAAAAAUAAGUUACAAGAUUCAUGGAAUCUAAUGCUCAUCAAUCUGUCACUGUCCAAUAUUUUUAAGGUAUGAAAAGAUGGAGAAUAUUUUUAUUUAUUGAUAUUAUCAUUCAUAUUUCCGUUCAUGCUAAUUAAUUGUAUUCUCAUAUGAUUUUUUUCUUACACAUCAUUUUAAUUCAAAAGUAUCUUAAGUAAGCAUAUUAGUAUUUUGUGCAGGUUUGUAAGAUUAGUAAUAUGAUUCUCAUAUGACUAAAAUUUUAAUGCAUAACACUUUGGACUUAGCAUAAUAUAUACGAAAGAUAUGGGUAAAUAUAGAGAAACCUCUAGGAGGAGUGUAGUAUAGUUGAAUAGUUCUUAAGAUAAGUUAUUUGAAGGAAAUGACAUGAUGACAGCAAGUUCAAGUUGCUAUGUUUAGAGAUUUACUGAGGAGGGUGCAAGACUUGGGCAAGCAACGGGCUUAAGUGGUACCUCAUAAUGCAACAGAAAAUGCCACUACUAUGAGCUCGAUUGUUGAGUAGUUUUAUCAUUUUAAACCCCCAUCAUUUGAUGGUAAAGGUGAUCCUUUCACAGCCAAUAAAUGGAUGAAAAGAAUGGAAGGGAUCACCAAGCACAAGAAUUGCAAAGACACUUAAAAGGUUUUUGUGCAAAGUACAUGAUGACUAAUGAUACUGGACAUUGAUAAGAGUCAAAAACAGGUACUAGAACUGUUGAACAACAAUGUAAUCUCACUUGGAACUAGUUCAACGAGUCAUUGAUUGGUAAAUAAUUUCCCAACCAUUGGAGAAUCAAAAGGAAGUAGAAUUUCUUCAGUUCAAGCAAGAAAUUUGCCACUUGGAGAGUAUGAAAGAAAUUUAAACGGCUUUCUAGAUAUGAUUAGCAUAUUGUAAACACUGAACUAACGAAGGCUAAAAGGUUUGAAAUUCGAUUAAGAUUAGAGAUUAAGGGAAUCAUGGCAGCCUAGCUAUAUAAUAUUUAUGCGAAACUCAUACGUCGAGCACAAGGAAUCUCAAAUGGUUUAGGAUUAUAAAAGAAAACCCAACCCAGCAUCGAGUUUUCUAUAAAGAAAAAGUAGCAAGGUUACAACAAAGAUAAAGGCAUAGAUCAAAAUAAGAAAGGAAAUGUUAGUUUAGACUCAAACAAAACUUUUCCUCAAUGCCCAAAGUGUAACAAGCAACACUAAAGUGAGUGUCUUCAAGGGAAAAAAAGGGUAGGGUCAUUUCCUUAGAGAAUGUCCAGAGAAAAAGGGAGAAGAUGAACAACUUAAGAAAGGAAAGGGCAGAGUGUUUGCUUUGACACGAGAAGAGGAGGAUCAGAAAUAGAAGUAAUAACAGGUAUGUUACCAGUGUCUGAAAUACUGCUAUUGUCCUUAUGGAUUCUGGAUUCACAUAUUCAUUUAUUUCUACAAUUGAGUAAGAUUGGGAAUAAAUGCGUAAAAAUGAAUAACAUCUUAGAUGUUAGUACAUCUUCAGGAGAAGUCAUUAAUAUCAAUCAAAUGGUUAGAGAAGUUUCAUUAAAGAUAGAAAGAAAAGUACUAAUGGUAGAUUUGUACCUCUUAAUAAUAAAAGACUUUGAUGUAAUUUUUGGUAUGGAUUGGCUAGGUAGAAAUUUUGCAACUAUCCUAUGCCAUCAAAAUGAGAUUCUGUUUCAAAAAUCUAGGGACAAAGAUUUCGAUUCUUUUGAACAAGAAUUGGAGCUCUACCCGAUUAGUGUCUACAAUGAAAGUGGAAAAAUGUUGAAAAAAAUACAUGUCAUGGAUUUUUACUGAAUAUUACUAGUAAACCUCAAUCCGAACAAAAAGUGGAAGAUCUAUCGGUGGUUAAGGAGUUUGUGAAUGUUUUUUUCUAAAGAUUUACAUGGUAUACCGCUAGAUAAAUAAGUAGAGUUUACAAUUGACUUAACCCCUAGGACAGUACCAAUAUUUAAGGCCCGUUACAAAAUGGCACCAAAAAAUUAUAGGAGUUAAAGAUACAACUACAACAACUAUUGGAUAAGGGUUUCAUCUAACCUAAUGUAUCCCUAUGGAGAGCGUCAGUAUUGUUUGUUAAAAAGAAAGAUAGAUCAAUGAGAAUGUGUAUUGAUCAAAGGGAUAUUAAUCAUUUGACCAUAAAGAAUAAAUACCCACUCCUAAGGAUAGAGGAUCUCUUUGAUCAAUUGGAGGAUGCAAAGGUGUUCUCAAAAUUAGAGUUGAAGUUAGUUUCUCACCAAUUCAAGAUAAAAGAUUGUGAUAUCCUUAAAACAAGCUUCAAAACAUGGUACGGGCACUAUGAGUUCAUGAUGAUGCCAUUUGGGUUUACCAAUGUACCUGUUGUGUUUAUAGAUUAAAUGAAUCGAGUUUUACAUCCAUAUCUAGAUCAAUUCGUUAUAGUCUUCAUCGAUGAUAUAUUGAUAUACUCAAAGGAUAAGCAGUAAUAUGAAGAGCAGUCAAAGCAUCUCCAAGAAACUCUUUAUUUUUAAAGAACAUAUUUUAAAAUUUAGAAAACAUUUAUAAAUUUAGAGAGUGAAAAUUUUGUACUCGACGGCCUUUUCUAUUUAACACUUAAUUUUACUAUCCCCAAACAAUAUUUAUUAUUUUUAUCUAUCUUUUAUUUUAACUAACUUUUCACUAGAUUAUUAUAUUAUUUUUCUACAUUCAAAAUUGACGUACUUUGAAUGCUUUCAAUUAUAGCAAGUGUGUUUGCCUCUCCAAAUUUAGAGAGCAAAACACACUCUCUAAAUUAAAAUAUUAAUUUAAAGAGCAUCUUAAAGCAUAAUUUUAAGGGUUGCCUCUUUAAAAUAGAAAGCAUCUCAUGUUUAAAUAGUCUUUUAGAAAUUCUCUUAAAAGUGUUAUUGAACACUCUUCGAAUUGAAAAGUUGUACACCAAAUUAAAAAAAAAAAAGUGAAUUUUUGCAAGAUCGCAUCGAUUUCCUUCAUCAUGUGGUACUGCACAAGGAAUUGAAGUAGACCCAGCUAAAGUCGACAUAUUGGUCUAGACCUAAUGUAGGUGAAGUUCGUAGUUUCUUAGGUCUGGCCAGCUAUUAUCAAAGAUUUAUUGAAAGAUUUUCUAAGAUAGCUGGUCCACUUACACAAUUGACUAGAAAUGGAGUAAAGGUCCAAUGGCUAGAUAAGUUUAAAGGUAGUUUUCAAGACCUGAAACAAAGAUUAGUUUCAAUGCCAGUGUUAAUAAUAUCAUAAGGUUUAGAAGGAUUUGUUAUAUACAAUGAUGCUUUUAAACAAGGUUUGGGACGUGUACUAAUACAACAUGGAAAUAUUAUUUCCUACAUCUCUAAACAGUUAAAACUAUAUCAAUAGAAUUAUCCAACGCAUGACUUAUAACUAACAGCUAUAGUUCACGCCUUAAAAAUAUGGCGUCACUAUCUCUAUGGGGGUAAUGUGAGAUAUACAUCUCAAAUACUUCUUUACUCAUAAGGAGUAAAAUAUGAGACAAAGGAGAUGGCUGGAAUUGGUCAAAGACUAUGACUGCACCAUUUUUUUACCACCCAAGUAAAGCCCAUGUAGUUGCUAAUGCUUUUAGUAGAAAAACAGUUGGAAAGUUGAGAGUUCCAACUACUCAAGAACAAUUAGUUAAGGAAUUUGAAAAUUUGAUGCUAAAGGUUAUUGUAUCUUCAAUACGGAACUUAGCCAUUGUUGCAGCUCUAAUGAUUUAACCCAUUCUUAGAGAACAGAUUAGAAAAGCCAAAAAAAAAAAAAAAAUGACCCAUUUUUGUAUAAAAUCAUGGCUAGAGUUCGUACAGAUAAGCAAAAAUGAUUUCCCAUAACUGAUGAUAAAGCACAUAUGUAUAAAGGCAGAUUAUGUGUUCUUAAAGAUGAUGGAGUAAGGAAAGAAAUUCUCAAAGAAGCACACCACAUCCCUUAUGCUGGACAUCUAGGCAGUACAAAGUAUAUCGAGAUUUUCGAGAUACAUUUUGAUGGAGAAAUAUGAAAAGUGGAAUAUGACUCUUUUUAAGUAAAUGUAUGGUCUAGCAGCAAGUGAAAGGGAAACAUCAGAGACAUUUGAGGUUGCUUAGGCUAGUGGAUAUACUGGACUAGAAAUGGGAACGCAUUACCAUAGAUUUCGUGGUAGGAUUUUUGAGAUCAACUAAAGGAAACAAGCUAUAUGGCUAAUAGCGGAUUAUCUUACAACGUCGGUCUACUUUCUUCCAAUUAAGAUGACAUUCACCAAGGAAUAAUAUGCACAGUUUAUGCCAAAGUAAUAGUCAGGUUACGUGGGGUUCCUGUUUAUAUUAUUUCACUUAAAGAAUCAAAAUUCAUGUCAAAAUUCUAUAUAAAAGUCUACAAAAUGCUAUGAGAACAAAAGUAAAACUUAUUACCUUAUAUUACCCUCAAAUUUAUGGAUCAUUCGAAAGGAUGAUUGAGAUAGUUGACGAUAUGAUAAAAGCCUACGUACUAGAUCUCAACAGCAGCUAGGAAACACACUUGUGCUUAGUAAAAUUUGCUUAUAACAAUAGUUUUCAAGCAAUUAAAGGUAUGGCACCUUAUGAGGCACUAUAUGGUAGGAAGUGUAGAUUACCUAUCUACUGGGAUGAGGUUGGAGAAAGAAGGAUCCUAGGACCCUAAAUCAUUGAUCGAACAGUUCGUGCUAUGAAUAAGGUUUGGAAUAGAAUGAAGGCUACUCAGAAUAUGCAGAAAAGUUAUGCUGAUAGAAGGAGAAAAUAUCUUGAGUUUCAAAUUGGUGACAAAGUAUUUCUGAAAGUAGCCCCCACAAUGGGAGUACAUAGAUUUGAAAAUAAACGAAAAAUAAGUGGAUCAUUUGAUAUAUUAGAAAGAAUAGAAGAUAUGGCUUAAAGACAAGCCAAAACUUUCAACAGUACAUAAUGAUUGUCAUAUAUCAAUGUUGCAAAAAUACUUACAAAAUUCUAGUCAUGUGGUCAAAAAUUCUAGAAACAAAGAUUCAUGUACUUAGAACAAAGAAAUUUCUUUAAUCAAGGUGCCACGGCGUAAUCAUAGAGUGGAAGAGUCAACUUGAGAAAAGGAAGAUGAAAUGAAAAUCAAGUAUCCCGAACUUUCCACUAACCUAAUAUAAAUUUUAAGGACAAAAUUAUUUUAAGGAGAAUAGGUUGUCGAACCCGAACUUUCCUAGUUGUAGUGCAUAUAAUUUAUUUGCCUAAUAAUACGAAUGUUAUGUCUAGUACAUCUUCAUACAAGUCAAUUCAUUGUGUCUAAUAGUUAAUAUGCAUCUAUAUGAUUUUUCUUAAUAGUUGAGGGAUCAAAGUGAAUAUAAAUAAAUUGUAAAUGAAAUAGUAUACAUGUUCCUUCCCUUCAUGAUUUUUCGAUCAAUACAGUUUUCGGAAAAGUAAAAUAGCUAUAAACAUGAUUAAUAGUAUUAAUUAUCACAAAUCAAUUAAGGUGAUAGUUAUUCAAUUGGACUAGGAUGUUGAUAUUAAUUAUCACAAAUAUAAUUAAGGUUAUUCAUAUGACUAGGAUAUUGAUAUUAAUUAUCACAAAUUCAAUUAAAGUUAUUUAAUUUGGAUGUUUUGAAAGUUGAUGUAUAAAUAUAUUAUAUUUAUCUUAAAGUGACUAGGCUUAUCACCACAGAGUCAUUUAAUAGAAUUAGAAUUGAAUUUUGUGUUUUGGUUAGAAUUUAAUUAUUAACUAGUUUAGAAAAAACCAUUCAUGUUUCGAAACGCUUUGUGAGUACUGUUUCUAUUUUAUAUUUAAUGCAAUUGAACUAAUUAAUUAGUCAUCAUCUAUAUAAUCUAGAAUAAUAACUAAUUGGUUAUGAUACAAUCCUAAUCGUAAUCAAACUACCCUAAGUUUACCUAUAAAUACCAACCCAUGCACAUAUGUUUGCCACAAAACCCAUUCUUUGAGUUUUGUUUCAUUCUUUAAAAUUUUAGUAGAAUUCUCUAUUAAAAAGUUUAGAAGAUUUUCAAAAAAAGUUUCAAUUUAUCCUUCAUUGUGGUCAAUUCAAGUAUUAUGACUUAAUAAUUUGAGAUGAAGUGCUCAAUGCUAUUAUUCGUUUUUCCACAUCUUUUCAAAUACAUUGUUACAUAUGAAUUUAAUUAUUUCAAUUCAGGGAUCCAUUUGGAGAAAUCAUGAUAUAUUUUAAGUGUACCUAAGGAAUGAGUCAGCCUUUACGUUAUUUUACAGCGCUUACUAGAACUAUCACACAUCUUUUCAAAUAUAUUAUUAUAUAUGAAUUUAAUUACUUCAGUUCAAGGCUCCAUUUGGAGAAAUCAUGAUACAUUUUAAGAUAUACCUAAGGUAUCAGUUAGCCUUCACGUUAUUUUGCAGGGCCUACUAAAAUUAUCAUUUUUCACGUUGUGAUAAUUCUCAUUUUAUUUUUGUAAGAGAGUUUAUGCAUGAUAUAUUGUUUGAUCUGAAUGUGAAGUAGGAAGCAUCUAUUGAGUAUAAUACAUUGCACUCAUCCCUCUUUAUUUACAAAUUUCAGGUAAAAAUUAACAUGCUGGGCGACAGUGGAUGGAUGGGUGUACUAGUGGACCAACUAAUUCUCAUUAUGAAGAACAUUAUUUGUUGGAUUUAAUUAUUUUUGGAGUCACAUUAUAAUUUGUAAUUAGUCC
rnacentral:lncRNA from 1 species